rnacentral:rRNA from 1 species
GAUGAACGCUAGCUACGGGCUUAACACAUGCAAGUCGAGGGGCAGCAUGUUGGUUGCUUGCAACCAAUGAUGGCGACCGGCGCACGGGUGAGUAACGCGUAUCCAACCUUCCCCUUACUCGGGUCCAGCCCGUUGAAAGACGGAUUAAUCCCCGAUGCUCUCAUAUGCUGGCAUCAGUUUAUGAGCAAAGAUUUAUCGGUAAGGGAUGGGGAUGCGUAUGAUCAGCUUGUUGGUGUGGCAACGGCUCACCAAGGCUACGAUCAUUAGGGGUUCUGAGAGGAAGGUCCCCCACACUGGAACUGAGACACGGUCCAG